rnacentral:misc_RNA from 1 species
GAAGUAAAGGUCGUAACAAGGUUUCCGUAGGUGAACCUGCGGAAGGAUCAUUAUUGUAUAACCGAGGUGCGAGGGCUGUCGCUGACCCGAAAGGUCGUGCACGCCCGAGUGCCCUCACACACAUCCAUCUCACCCCUAUGUGCACCACCGCGUGGGUCCCCCUUUGGCUUGUUCGGAGGGGGGCUUACGUUUUCACACAAACUUUGUAUGCAGUGUAGAAUGUAUUUUUUGUUUUUGCGAUCACGCAAUCAAUACAACUUUCAACAACGGAUCUCUUGGCUCUC